GAUGAACGCUGGCGGCGUGCCUAAUACAUGCAAGUCGAGCGAACGGACGAGAAGCUUGCUUCUCUGAUGUUAGCGGCGGACGGGUGAGUAACACGUGGAUAACCUACCUAUAAGACUGGGAUAACUUCGGGAAACCGGAGCUAAUACCGGAUAAUAUUUUGAACCGCAUGGUUCAAAAGUGAAAGACGGUCUUGCUGUCACUUAUAGAUGGAUCCGCGCUGCAUUAGCUAGUUGGUAAGGUAACGGCUUACCAAGGCAACGAUGCAUAGCCGACCUGAGAGGGUGAUCGGCCACACUGGAACUGAGACACGGUCCAGACUCCUACGGGAGGCAGCAGUAGGGAAUCUUCCGCAAUGGGCGAAAGCCUGACGGAGCAACGCCGCGUGAGUGAUGAAGGUCUUCGGAUCGUAAAACUCUGUUAUUAGGGAAGAACAUAUGUGUAAGUAACUGUGCACAUCUUGACGGUACCUAAUCAGAAAGCCACGGCUAACUACGUGCCAGCCACCGCGGUAAUACGUAAGUGGCAAGCGUUAUCCGGAAUUAUUGGGCGUAAAGCGCGCGUAGGCGGUUUUUUAAGUCUGAUGUGAAAGCCCACGGCUCAACCGUGGAGGGUCAUUGGAAACUGGAAAACUUGAGUGCAGAAGAAGAAAGUGGAAUUCCAUGUGUAGCGGUGAAAUGCGCAGAGAUAUGGAGGAACACCAGUGGCGAAGGCGACUUUCUGGUCUGUAACUGACGCUGAUGUGCGAAAGCGUGGGGAUCAAACAGGAUUAGGUACCCUGGUAGUCCACGCCGUAAACGAUGAGUGCUAAGUGUUAGGGGGUUUCCGCCCCUUAGUGCUGCAGCUAACGCAUUAAGCACUCCGCCUGGGGAGUACGACCGCAAGGUUGAAACUCAAAGGAAUUGACGGGGACCCGCACAAGCGGUGGAGCAUGUGGUUUAAUUCGAAGCAACGCGAAGAACCUUACCAAAUCUUGACAUCCUUUGACAACUCUAGAGAUAGAGCCUUCCCCUUCGGGGGACAAAGUGACAGGUGGUGCAUGGUUGUCGUCAGCUCGUGUCGUGAGAUGUUGGGUUAAGUCCCGCAACGAGCGCAACCCUUAAGCUUAGUUGCCAUCAUUAAGUUGGGCACUCUAAGUUGACUGCCGGUGACAAACCGGAGGAAGGUGGGGAUGACGUCAAAUCAUCAUGCCCCUUAUGAUUUGGGCUACACACGUGCUACAAUGGACAAUACAAAGGGCAGCGAAACCGCGAGGUCAAGCAAAUCCCAUAAAGUUGUUCUCAGUUCGGAUUGUAGUCUGCAACUCGACUACAUGAAGCUGGAAUCGCUAGUAAUCGUAGAUCAGCAUGCUACGGUGAAUACGUUCCCGGGUCU
rnacentral:rRNA from 1 species